rnacentral:rRNA from 1 species
CCUACGGGAGGCAGCAGUGAGGAAUAUUGGUCAAUGGGCGUAAGCCUGAACCAGCCAAGUCGCGUGAGGGAUGAAGGUUCUAUGGAUCGUAAACCUCUUUUAUAAGGGAAUAAAGUGUGGGACGUGUCCUGUUUUGUAUGUACCUUAUGAAUAAGGAUCGGCUAACUCCGUGCCAGCAGCCGCGGUAAUACGGAGGAUCCGAGCGUUAUCCGGAUUUAUUGGGUUUAAAGGGUGCGUAGGCGGCCUUUUAAGUCAGCGGUGAAAGUCUGUGGCUCAACCAUAGAAUUGCCGUUGAAACUGGGAGGCUUGAGUAUGUUUGAGACAGGCGGAAUGCGUGGGGUAGCGGUGAAAUGCUUAGAUAUCACGCAGAACCCCGAUUGCGAAGGCAGCCUGCCAAGCCAUGACUGACGCUGAUGCACGAAAGCGUGGGGAUCAAACAGGAUUAGAUACCCCAGUAGUC